AUUGAACGCUGGCGGCAGGCCUAACACAUGCAAGUCGAGCGGAUGAAGGGAGCUUGCUCCUGGAUUCAGCGGCGGACGGGUGAGUAAUGCCUAGGAAUCUGCCUGGUAGUGGGGGAUAACGUCCGGAAACGGGCGCUAAUACCGCAUACGUCCUGAGGGAGAAAGUGGGGGAUCUUCGGACCUCACGCUAUCAGAUGAGCCUAGGUCGGAUUAGCUAGUUGGUGGGGUAAAGGCCUACCAAGGCGACGAUCCGUAACUGGUCUGAGAGGAUGAUCAGUCACACUGGAACUGAGACACGGUCCAGACUCCUACGGGAGGCAGCAGUGGGGAAUUUUGGACAAUGGGCGAAAGCCUGAUCCAGCCAUGCCGCGUGUGUGAAGAAGGUCUUCGGAUUGUAAAGCACUUUAAGUUGGGAGGAAGGGCAGUAAGUUAAUACCUUGCUGUUUUGACGGUACCAACAGAAUAAGCACCGGCUAACUUCGUG
rnacentral:rRNA from 1 species